CGCUGCCCUCGCCCGGGCCGGGGCUGCCGUUCGGAGGUGCCGGAGAGGAGUCGGCAGGCACCCCCUUUCAGUGAAAAAGUGAAAGUUCUCGACUUAAUCGGGAAAGAAAGAACGGGCGAGUGCUGAGGGAGCUCGGUUCGAGGCUUCUGUCCGUGAAACUAUGAAGAGGGGAAACGAAAUUCGUGCUAGUUCUGCUGAGGCGGCGCGACAGGGGCGUGGCUGGGACGGAGAGGGCGUUCCUUUGUGGGCGCAGGACGUGGAGGGAAAAGGUGUCCCCAUGGAUGACAACUUGUUAGGCCAGAAAGCUUUGAGCCGCUGUGAGGGCUUGGGCGAGGGGUCCCCUGACUCGGCCUGGCAAAGCCGCUCACUGCUGAUAAGGGAUGGCGACACCGGUCCUGGGCUGAGAAAGACACACACUGGAGAGGCUGCAUCUGCCGAGGAGGUGAGGAAGUUCCCAGAGGAGGUGAAGAAGUUGAUGAGGCGAAAGUGUACCUUCCAGAGCAGGUCUUCAGUUGUGAUGAAGCUGGGUUCUUCUGGAAGAAGAUGCCCAAGAGGAGUUACAUUCAUAAAGGUGCCAAAGAGGCCCCAGACAUAAAACAUGGAAGGACGGGUUAACUCUGGUUCUGAUGCCAACACUGCGGGCACAGGCUGGAGCCUCAUGUGGUGGAGGAACCUAGGAAAGACCACGGAGAAGUGUUAACAAAUGCUGAAUUGGAAGCACUCAUUGAGGCACCUGCAAAGAAAGAGGAAGAUGUGGAAGAAACUGAAGCAGCACCAGCAAUGUGGACUUUACCGUAAUUUGCCAAAGUGUUUCAAAUUGCACAGACAUUAAAGGAUGAAAUCAUGGAAUACCGUCCUUGGACUGAACGCACCAUUAAAGUCACCCGCACCAUCACCCAAGGAUUACAACCUCUGCAGCAACACUUUGACGAGUUAAACAGACAACAGCUUCCCAUUACCAUGUUCCUCCAAAAGAUACCAAUCCCAAAAAACAGCUCUGGAGGACCCCCAACCAUCAGCAUCAUCCACUCCUGACAUGCAGCCAUCGAUGUCCUCAUGACUGUGUGAUCCAGGAUUGCCUGAAGCAGAUGACACUUCUGACAACAGGUCAGAAGGUCAGUAGGAGCCUAAAACCACAGCACGAUGCCUAUGCCGUUCACCCCACAUCACCUCCACACCUGGGCGCUGUGUCAUCACCCGUCAUCCCAAGAAGGUGCAUGUCUGUGAAUGUGUGGAACACAUCGGAAGAAUUUUUCCCUGAGGCCCGUCCGGCAAUAGGGGGCAGUAGUGGUCCAGUGUUCAGCUCUGCUUCAGGUGUGGAGAAACGUGCAACUCCCAGCUGGAAGCUCCCAGACCAUGAGCAGUGUUUCAGGCUCUGAAGACAAACACAUUCAAUGACCGCAGACUCUCGGGAUUUGUCAGGUCACCCCAGGAAAUGUGCCCUUGCACAGCCCUCCCCACCACCAGGCGUGAGCUUGGGAGCCACGAACACAGCGCACGGCAAACAGAGACCAUGGCCCUCACCUCUGGCGUCGCACCCAGAACCCACCGGGCGGCCCUCAGUGGUCAGACUUCCCCUCCCUCCUCGCUUCAUGGAGACACAGGCAGUGGUUUUAGCGCAUUUGCAGUUGCUCACCGCUGGCACUGAGCUUCAGGAGACCCUGGGCCCCGGCGGUCACCCCUCCUGGCCUGGCCACAGCACUCUGCUUCCCCUGAGCAUUUGGGAGGGCGUCCUGCUCUGCGUGGCCCGUGACCGCACAGCGGCAUGUCUUCACCCCGCCGGGCCCAUUGGUGGCUGGACCCGCGUGGCCAGCCCCCUUCCUGCUGACAGACACGUGGGUGCUCUCGCUUCUCAGCUGCACAGCGUGGCCACGAACAUUCUCACACGUGCUUGCGUCUUGAAGUGUGUUUCCAGUUCUUGGGCCCGUCCCAGGAAUGGGCAGAAUUUCCUUUUUUUUUUUUUUUUUUUUGUGGGACCCUCGCAGGUGGCCGGGGAUCGAACUGGCGCAGAGGCUGCGGGCAGCUUCCCAGCUCAGCGCUCAACCGCUGCACCACCAGGGGAGGCCCAAUGGGCAGAAUUUCAGCUUGGAAUCCCAUGCUGGUGGCGGCGGGACUAGGAACCGGUUAGACACGUGAGGGUUGUAAAGCAGUGUUACCUCAAUAAAGGGAAAAGAAAGACAAAUUGGCGACGGGUCUGUAUUACUGGCAGGGGUCAGUCUCUGGUGCUGGCAAGUUUUAAAGACAAAACAAGAGGCUGUUUGCACGGAAAGGCCAGGUCAGCUUUCUGCUGCCUUCCCUCCCAGGCCUACAGACGUCUUCAUGAAAAUUAGGGAAGGUGAAAGGAGACUGGAGGAUUUCCUUCUUUUUUCUCUCCUCAUUUUCAGUUUUAAAAUGUUGCUUUUUUGGGCCUCCCUGGUGGUGCAAGGGGUUAAGACACAACCUCUGAAGCUGUCCGCAGCCUCUGCAGCAUGAGUUCGAUCCCCGGCCAGCCAGGGAGCAACCCACAUGGCACAGCAGACCCCUCCUGACUCACCCGCUGCUCCCCUCAGCAGUGUAUUUCAGUCCGUCUGCCCGUUCUGCUCCCUACUCUGUCUCCGGUGAAUCCUCUGGUGAAUCCCGCAUCUCUGGCCUGGGCCCCAGCUCUUGUAUACAUAAAUAAAUAAAUCUUUUUUGAAAAAUGUUGCUUUAUUAUAAAUAUCAUCAGAAUUCAGGACAAGCUGGGCCUCCCCGGUGGCGCAGCAGGUUGAGCGCAGCACUGUGAAGCUGCCCGCAGCCACUGCAGCGUGGGUUCUAU